GCUCUCCUAGGCAGAUUGCCCACCACGGCUGACGAGCUCCACUUGCCCGGGUUUAUUGUUCGGAGUUUGCUCUCCUAGGUGAAUUGCCUACCACGGCUAACGAACCUCACCUGCCCGGGUUUGUAAUCGGAGUUUGCUCUCCUAGGUGAACUGCUUUCGCUAACGACCUCCACCUGCCCGGGUUUGUAAUCGGAGUUUGCUCUCCUAGAUGAAUUGCUUUCGCUAACGACCUCCACCUGCCCGGGUUUGUAAUCGGAGUUUGCUCUCCUAGAUGAAUUGCUUUCGCUAACGACCUCCACCUGCCCGGGUUUGUAAUCGGAGUUUGCUCUCCUAGGUGUAUUACCUAUGACGGCUCACGAGCCCAACCUGCCCGGGUUUAUUGUUCGGAGUUUGCUCUCCUAGGUGUAUUACCUAUGACGGCUCACGAGCCCAACCUGCCCGGGUUUAUUGUUCGGAGUUUGCUCUCCUAGGUGAAUUGCCUACCACGGCUAACGAACCUCACCUGCCCGGGUUUGUUGUUCGGAGUUUGCUCUCCUAGGCAGAUUGCCUACCACGGCUAACGAGCCCCACCUGCCCGGCGUUGUAGCCGAAAGAUCUCCGGCACCUCCGUCGGGGUCCCGAUGGACGCCGAUGCGCCCU